rnacentral:rRNA from 1 species
CAUCUCGAACCCAGCCGUUAAGCCCGUUAGCGCCGAUGGUACUGGGGGGGCAGCCCCCUGGGAGAGUAGGUCAUUGCCAGGA